rnacentral:lncRNA from 1 species
GGUGAAAUUGUGGAGGCUUCACAUGCCAGGCUGAGAAGUUUGGAUUCUCCACUGAAGGAUUUUGAGCAGAGGAAUGACCGGUUUGGUGGGUCCCCUUGGAAGACCCAUUUGGACAAGGCUCAGGACCUCUGGUGAUCUCUGAGUUCCAAGGACCUCGGGGGGCCCAAUGUUUCUGCACAGAUGACUUCCCAUGCAGCAGUGAAAAGACAACUCAGGAGUCCUGCACAGAACUGAGCCGACACUGGGCAUUCGAGUAGACGCUGUGACUACAAAUACACAGGCAAUUAGGAUGAGGUUGGUGGACUCUCACCCUCCUUUCUGCUGCGCUCUUCUAGUGGCACUGCCCCGUCCCAGGACACUUGGCCAGCCUCCGGGAAAUAGCCUUCGGGGAGGUGAUCCACUACGGCAUGGCCAGCUGGUCUACUGGAGCAUUGAACCUUGGUCAAGACUGGUUUUGUUGGUCCCUCACCCAGACCAAGCAGGUUAGUGGCUCAAUGGCUUCAAAGCCACCUUACCUAAGAGGAGAAGAAUAAACCUCCAGACUCCGAUGUCUCUCGGUCUCCCAGAUUGCGGAUUAGUGCCUGGAAGACUUGAAUGGCCCAUCUGGUCACACUGGAGCCUCUUCACCCAUGGUGAGCACGAUCCCUUUUGGUUCCUUGGAAUGAAUUACUGGCUCGAGGAGGGAGAGGGGAGAACCCCAGAGGAGACAAGAGUCCCCCAAGCUUGCCUUCCCUUCGUGCACCAACGUAGCCCUCUUCUCCUGUACCAGCUGGGAGUGCCAUCAGGACCUCUCACUGAAAGGACUUUGUAAGGACAGGCAUUCUCGAGGUCGUCUGUCUCCCUUUCUCGUUUUCAGCCCUGAAAGCCCCUCUACCUUCCUCCCUUGGCAGAGGAAAUGGGUUCGCUCGUUCCGAGUGGGGCAUUUGUGCCUUGGGCCGCAGCUCCUGAGGCCUUGGGAUUCAGGCCUCAACUGGGCAAGAAUAAGCAGAAACAGAGCAGUAGCACUGCCAGGGUUUCCCCUGGGCUGCCUGAGGGGGAGCGGGUUCGAGCAGCCCCUCAGCCCCACCUGGGUUAGUCUCUGACAGCACCCCGUUGGCGUUCCCGCUGAUUCCCCGUUUCAGGAAGGUUUGAGGCCACUCCAUGGGUGAGCUUCCUAGCUCACGGGGCGCCAUCUCUUCAGCCGCCACAGUUCAGGGGGGCACUGCUUAGGACAAGCGCAGACCCUGAAGUACAG